GCCAUCUGCGUUUUACUGUGAAGAGGAUUAUGAAACUAUUUGCCAGAUAGAACCUUAUGAGAUUUCUCCCCUGCCCCAAAACUUUUUGCAGUCCCCCUUUCUCCAUCAUUUAUCUCAAAAGUAAAGCAGCCCUUAAUUAUUUGGAUCCACUACUGUAAACAGUACAUUGAGGGAAGAGAAACCUUCACAGCUCUGUUUAAGUAACUGGAGUGAUAGCAUAUCACACUGCAGGAGAUGCUCGUCUCAGAAGAUCAGGUCUUUCCUUUAAACGUGCUUCAUUGUUAUCAGUGGACUGCUUUCAAAAAUGAGCACAGCAGAGAAAACAAUCUACCCUUGUGUGAACUGCAUCAGAUUCUUACUGAAAAAUCAGAGAAAGUAGUGAUUACAGAACCAGUAGCUGCUCCAGCAGAAUUUCAGCACUAUAUGUUUCUCCAAAUAUAAUUGGUAAAGCUAAUUUUGAGUGAAGUAAACUGAAAAUUAAUAUUUAAAAAGGUAUUUCAGUGAUAGUGACAUUUUUUCCAUGCGAAGUUUCCUCCAGAAAUAUUUACCUUGAAUGGAGAACCUUAAGACAAA
rnacentral:lncRNA from 1 species